rnacentral:piRNA from 1 species
UGAAGUUAAAUUGCAUGCUUCAGCCA